rnacentral:snRNA from 1 species
GUGCUUACUUCAGCAGCACAUAUAGUAAAAUUAAAAUGAUACUAAGAAGAUUAGUAUGGCCCCUAUGUAAAGAUGACAUGCAAAUUCGUGAAGCAUUUCAUAUUUUU